AGAUGGCCGAAUAGGAACAGCUCCGGUCUACAGCUCCCAGCGUGAGCCACGCAGAAGACGGGUGAUUUCUGCAUUUCCAUCUGAGAUAUCAAUUGCUUCCAUUUGAAUCACUGUCAAGAAAGAGUGAAGCAGCCAAUUCUUUUGGAGGAAGCUGAUAGUCUCUUUUUGGGAAACCUUGGAAGCCAAGGUCGGAGCUGCUGAGAUAACGCUCAUGGAGCUGAGAGGUACAGUCCAGUCUUUGGAGAUAGACCUGGACUGGAUGAGAAAUCUGAAGUCCAGCUUAGAGAACAGCCUGAGGGAGGUGGAGGCCCGCUAUGCCCUGCAGAUGGAGCAGCUCAGUGGGAUCCUGCUGCACCUGGAGUCGGAGCUGGCGGAGACCUGAGCAGACAGGCAGCGCCAGGCCCAUGAGUAGGAAGCCCUGCUGAAUAUCAAGGUCAAGCGGGAGGCUGAGAUGGCCACCUACCGCUGCCUGCUGGAAGACAGCGAAGACUUCAAUGUUGGUUGUUGCCUUGGACAGCCCCAACUCCAUGCAAACCAUUCAAAAGACUACCACCCGCCAGACAGUGGACGGCAAAGUGAUGUUUGAGACCGAUGACACCAAAGUUCUGAGACAUUAAGCCAGCAGAGGCAGAGUACCCUUUAGGGAGCA